rnacentral:rRNA from 1 species
AUUGAACGCUGGCGGCAUGCUUUACACAUGCAAGUCGAACGGCAGCGCGGGCUUCGUCCUGGCGGCGAGUGGCGAACGGGUGAGUAAUGCAUCGGAACGUGCCCAGUAGUGGGGGAUAGCCCGGCGAAAGCCGGAUUAAUACCGCAUACGACCUGAGGGUGAAAGCGGGGGACCGAAAGGCCUCGCGCUAUUGGAGCUGCCGAUGUCGGAUUAGCUAGUUGGUGGGGUAAAGGCUUACCAAGGCGACGAUCCGUAGCUGGUCUGAGAGGACGACCAGCCACACUGGGACUGAGAAACGGCCCAGACUCCUACGGGAGGCAGCAGUGGGGAAUUUUGGACAAAGGGGGCAACCCUGAUCCAGCCAUGCCGCGUGCGGGAAGAAGGCCUUCGGGUUGUAAACCGCUUUUGUUCGGGAAGAAAUCCUCUGGGCUAAUACCCCGGGGGGAUGACGGUACCGGAAGAAUAAGCACCGGCUAACUACGUG